ACGAACGCUGGCGGCGUGCUUAACACAUGCAAGUCGAACGGAAAGGCCCUGCUUUUGUGGGGUGCUCGAGUGGCGAACGGGUGAGUAACACGUGAGUAACCUGCCCUUGACUUUGGGAUAACUUCAGGAAACUGGGGCUAAUACCGGAUAGGAGCUCCUGCUGCAUGGUGGGGGUUGGAAAGUUUCGGCGGUUGGGGAUGGACUCGCGGCUUAUCAGCUUGUUGGUGGGGUAGUGGCUUACCAAGGCUUUGACGGGUAGCCGGCCUGAGAGGGUGACCGGCCACAUUGGGACUGAGAUACGGCCCAGACUCCUACGGGAGGCAGCAGUGGGGAAUAUUGCACAAUGGGCGGAAGCCUGAUGCAGGAACGCCGCGUGCGGGAUGACGGCCUUCGGGUUGUAAACCGCUUUCGCCUGUGACGAAGCGUGAGUGACGGUAAUGGGUAAAGAAGCACCGGCUAACUACGU
rnacentral:rRNA from 1 species